GACGAACGCUGGCGGCGUGCCUAAUACAUGCAAGUAGAACGCUGAAGGAGGAGCUUGCUUCUCUGGAUGAGUUGCGAACGGGUGAGUAACGCGUAGGUAACCUGCCUGGUAGCGGGGGAUAACUAUUGGAAACGAUAGCUAAUACCGCAUAAUAGUAGAUGUCGCAUGACAUUUGCUUAAAAGGUGCAAUUGCAUCACUACCAGAUGGACCUGCGUUGUAUUGGCUAGUUGGUGAGGUAACGGCUCACCAAGGCAACGAUACAUAGCCGACCUGAGAGGGUGAUCGGCCACACUGGGACUGAGACACGGCCCAGACUCCUACGGGAGGCAGCAGUAGGGAAUCUUCGGCAAUGGACGGAAGUCUGACCGAGCAACGCCGCGUGAGUGAAGAAGGUUUUCGGAUCGUAAAGCUCUGUUGUAAGAGAAGAACGAGUGUGAGAGUGGAAAGUUCACACUGUGACGGUAUCUUACCAGAAAGGGACGGCUAACUACGUG
rnacentral:rRNA from 1 species